CCUACGGGAGGCAGCAGUGGGGAAUAUUGCACAAUGGGCGCAAGCCUGAUGCAGCCAUGCCGCGUGUGUGAAGAAGGCCUUCGGGUUGUAAAGCACUUUCAGUCGUGAGGAAGGCGGUGUAGUUAAUAGCUGCAUCGUUUGACGUUAGCGACAGAAGAAGCACCGGCUAACUCCGUGCCAGCAGCCGCGGUAAU
rnacentral:rRNA from 1 species